CAGAAAAGCUGAACCUGGGCCUAAAUAACAACUUGACAAUUACAGCACACAACAUCGACUACUCCAUCAGCCGGUUGUCACGAGAUGGCACAACAGCAGAAGUUCAAAGACCACUGGAGGACUUAUCUCCAUGUUCUUGCUAUAGCUCUCUUCAAAGGGAGUGAUAGAUGAGGCA